UUCUAAUACAUUUUAAAGCGAAAAGGACAAUAACCGAUCUUUUUUACAAAACAAGAAUGAAAUUCCUGAAAUUAUUUGUCAUUAUUGGUUGCAUUGUUGCCGGUGUAGUGUCAGCCUCCGGGCAUAAUAUUAUAAGCGGCAAUGGAAACAAAAAUAAUCACCAAUCAAAUAUGGAUUUGGGUCUUGAUUUAAAAUUACCAAUAAUAUAAAUUUAUAUCUAAAUGGAAUUUAAAGUAUAUAACGAUAUUUCAUUUUAAUAUAGUGAACUUAAUUGAAAUUCUAAA